rnacentral:lncRNA from 1 species
UGCCUAUAUAAUGGCUGGAAACCCUGACCUCGAUCUCAUACCACGAUAUAUAUUCAAUAUUGCCCUUCACUUAAAUAUUUGAUCACCAUGGGAUCCAUCGUUAGUAGUAAGUGGUUGGUAGCAACAACUAAUUUGAGCAUUCUGUGUUUCUUCGUCCUGCUUCUUUGCCUGCAACAACCUGUUGCGGAGGCAAGGGUUCUGAAGUUAGGAUUGCAUCCAAAUUAUGGUGUUCCAUUCCACAUUCUGCGGAGUUGUUCAGGGGCUUCUUGUGAAACCAACGGAUCCACUCCUCCACCGUCAUGUUGUAACUCGUCCUAAAUAUGCUUUCUUGGGGCCGGUUCCAACGGAUCUGCUCCGUGUGCACGCGCGCCAUAUCCCUGAAAACUAGCUAGCUAGCUAGGUAUAAUAUAUAUCAGAAUGUAGAACAAUCAUGUAUUAAUGGAAUUAGACCGGCCGAGUGUGUAUUUAUGAAAAAUAAAUAAAUGUAAUCGGAUUAUUUGUCAAAAUAAAAAAGGUGGUGAUUUUGUUUUUUCAAUAGCAUCGUGGUGUGUAUUUAUGAAAAAUAAAUGUAAUCGGAUUAUUUGUCAAAAUAAAAAGGUGAUGAUUUUAUUUUUCAAUAGCAUCGUAGUGUGUAUUUAUGAAAAAUAAAUGUAAUUGGAUUAUUUGUUAAAAUAAAAAAAUGGUGAUUUUGUUUUUUCAAUAGUGGUGUGUAUUUAUGAAAAAUAAAUGUAAUCGGAUUAUUUGUCAAAAUAAAAAGGUGGUGAUUUUAUUUUUCAAUAACAUCGUGAUGUGUAUUUAUGAAAAAUAAAUGUAAUUGGAUUUGUCAAAAUAAAAAGGUGGUGAUUUUGUAUUUCAAUAGCAUCGUGGUGUGUAUUUAUGAAAAAUAAAUGUAAUCGGAUUAUUUGUCAAAAUAAAAAAGGUGGUGAUUUUGUUUUUCAAUGUCGCUGUCAUUACAUAAUUCAAUCCACCUAUAUAAUGGCCAGUAACUCUGACCACCCUUACCACACUUAAAUUACUUCACUUGAAUAUUUGAUGACUAUGGGAUCCAUUUUCAGCAGUAAGCGAUUGGUCGCAACAACUUUGUGCAUUCUAUGUUUUUUCCUACUUCUUUGUCUGCAACAACCUGUUACGGAGGCAAGGGUUCUGAAGUUAGGGUCACAUCCAAAUUAUGGCGUUCCAUUCCACGUUCUGCAGAGUUGCUCAGUGGCUUCUUGUGUAACCAUCGGAUCCACUUCUCCACCGCCAUGUUGUAACUCGUCUUAAAUUUGCCUCAAAACAUAAAAUCUCCUCUUUUCAAAAUUGCUUUCAAAUAAAUAUAGUUAUGUUUUCACAAAAAUAACCCUAACCCUUAACUCUACUAAAAAUACCGUAAAAAUAUGUAUAUAUAUAUCAUAAAAGCUCACCUAAAAUGAACUCAAAAGUGCUCUUCUAUCUCAGCCGUCCGAUCUAGAUGAACAAUUGUGGACCGUUCGUGUGAUAAUGAUAUGGAUUUGUACAAUUUGUGAGAUAAGUGUUCUUUAGGUGUACAUAAAUUUUUGAUAAACCUCUGAUUGUGACAACUGUCACACUCACACCUACGUACGAAUCUCAUAUUUUCCUUUCGUUUCUUCUAUUCUUUCCAUUCGUCUUCAAAACAAACACUCCCCUCACGCACUGUCACUCCCUCGGUGAUUUCCCGUCUCUGCAUGUCUGUGUCGUCUCUGCGUCUUCCGUCUCCGCCUAGUACCAGAUCGACUUUCCAUUCUCAGUCUGUUUGAUCGAUGAGAAUAUUGGAUUUGGAUGCUCCUUCCGCAGAUCUCAGGGUGUCCCUCUUUUUUUCCCCGUCUCUCGCUUCCGAUGAGAAUAAAACUGUAGUAAGAAUAGUCGUCUCGAUCUAACCCAUUUGUCUUGAUUCCAUGUGAUUGCAGAUUCAUGAGACGACAACACAACAAGUGGUACGAACAUCUGUCAAACCCUAAAAUUCACUGAUCGUCCAAUGUUCUAGCUCUCCACUCAAUUUCAAAUCGUCAACCGUAUCCUCCUCUUCUUCUUCAUCAUCCCCGUACGUUGAUCUAACCUAACCUCUACCUCACUCUCUGGCAGUGAGUUUUUUUUUUACAUUUCAGCUCUCUUAACUUCCUAUCUGUUAUUUGGAACAGUACCUUGGUCUGGAUCUGUUUUUUUGCCCUCUUUGGUAUGAGGAUGGUUUGUAUUACCUCUUCGUAAUUGAGUUCUGUUUUGGUUACUUAUUGGAAUUUACAAUGGUGUGGAUGGGAUUCAAUAUGUUUUGGUGUCAGUUUAUUUUUUUCUGACGAUUGACUGAAAUUCAGGACGUUUAGAUUUGAUGUCAGUCUAUUUUGUUGGAUCAUCUGGGUUUAGUUUGUGGGAUUGCGAUGUAGUCGAGUGAUGAUUAAAACCUAAUAACUACUUAAUUGGGGAAAAACUCAAGUGAUGAUUGAAUGGUACUACAAUGGAAAACAAAUAUAAGUAAUGUUAAUUUCUGGUGGAGACGAAGUCCCGGAGAUAACGUCGGAGCGUCUGGAACUUGGGGAACACUUGGCGACGUUCGCCGGAGUUUGGAGGUUUGAGUUUUCCGUCAAGAAAAAGGGGAAAAACUAAACCUAGAAUAACGUAUGUACGAGAAGGAGAUGGAGAAAGAAUUGGGGGGGAAAUAUGAAAUUUGUUAAUCUUCUUUUGAUUAACUUGUGUAAUUUCAAUUAAUUAAACCAGUUUACAACCCAAUCAUUUAUACACUAAUUACAGCUAACUAUUACAAUUAACUAACAACUAAUUUUCUUUAACUUAAAACUGACUCAAUUUAAUCGGGUCUCGGGCCGGUCUUGUGAGCCUGGAUCCGGAUCCGAUUAUUGUUGUUAAUUGUAACAAUUGCUGCAACCAUAUAAAACUAUUAGUAAUGACACAUAUGUCCAAUUUAAUUAAUAAUUGGGUUAUUCUCAACUUGGUCCAUCUUUCUGGUUAUUUCAAUUCUUUUGUAAUAACCUUUCAUUUCUUUUAAUCACACUUAAGUCCAGUUAACGAUUUAUUGAAAUAUUUGCUAAUAACCCCUUGUUAGUUAUAAACAAACAGUUUAGUCUGUUAUGCUAUAACCUUAGAGUUAUUUCUAUUUCAAUUAGGUCCUGACCUUAGUGUUAUGGUAAAACUUCUAUUUUUACCCUAGAUUUCACAUAUUCUUAUAAGUAACCAGUAGUGAUUAAUAUGUGUUAACAUGUAAUAGGAACAUAAUUUUGAUUUCUUUAGAUUGAUUUUUAACAUCUAAAACAUUUCAGUCCUGCCUUUCUUCAUUCAUCUUAACUGAAAAUGCUAAAAUUGUAAAGUAGUUUAGAUUGUCCACCAUUUUAGAAACAAUAAUUUCAAAUAUUUCAGAAACAAUAAUUUCAAAUAUUUCAGAAACAUUGGUCUCAUCCAUUUUGGGAACAAUGGUUUUAAAUAACUCAGGAACAAUGAUUUUAGCAAUUUUAGAAACAUUGGUUGAAGCCAUUUUAAAAACAAGGGUAUCAACUAAUUCAGAAACAACAGAUUCAACUAAUUCAGGAACAAUGAUUUUAGUAAUUUUAGAAACAUUGGUUGAAACCAUUUUAAAAACAAGGGUAUCAACUAAUUCAGAAACAGCAGAUUCAACUAAUUCAGGAACAAUGGGUUCAACCGUUUUAGAAACAACAGGUUCAAUCAUUUUAGGAACAAUGAUUUCAACGACUUUAGAAACAUGUAUUUCACCUCAUGAGCAUGUAUUUCACCAAAUACGCGAACUACUUCAUAUAUUCAGGAACAACGGUUUCUGCCUAUUAAGGAAUGUUGGUUGAAAUCAUUUUAAAAACAACGGUAUCAACCAAUUCAAUAACAACGAUUAUAAAUGAUUUAAGAAUCAAAGGUUUCAAACUUUUCAAAAACGUUGGUUAAGACUAUUUUAAGAACAACGGUAACAUAUAAUUCAUGAAUAACGCAAUGGGUAGUAGCAACUUCAACGACAAUGAGAUGAAAAAAAGAAAAGAAUAUGAAAAGAGUAAGGGGGUAUGGAAGAAGAAAAAAGAAGUAUAUAAGAAUUUUUCAUAAAGUACAACUUUUAGAAAAAGUCAAAUAGAUAGAGGUAGGUAGAUAAGAUAGAUUUUAGGUAGAUAGAAAAAAUCAUGAGUGGUAUUCUAAGUGUAUGAAGAUGUGUGUCUGGAAAAUUAAAAAAAUAAAAGGAUGGUUUAGAUUAACUGCAACAACAUCCAACGGCUCAGAUAGGGUGAGCGUUUUUGAGCUCAUUGAAAAAUUGUUGUAUAUAUAUAAAUAUGGUUCUGAUUAAUAAGAUCUGAUUUGAAAAAAUAGAUUUUUUUCAAUUUUAAUAAAAGAAAAUUAAUAAUCGAGAUAUUAUAGGCGGAGGUUAUAUCGAUCUUAUUAUUGUUUAUGAUUUGAGAUAUAGAUUUUAAAAUAUUAUAUGAGAUAUUAUCAAUCUUAUCUUUCAUUUUCAAUCGAGUAAUUCUCUUGAAAUAAUUAAAUAUAAACAUGUCAAAAUAUGUUGCAUAUACAUAAAGAGGUAACUGUUUAUUAAAAUUUUAAAGGUCGAGUCUCACUACAUAUGUAUCUUUAUUAAUUUUUUAAAGAUUUAGUAUUGGAAUCUCAUUAUUUUAUCAUAUAACAAAUGAUAUAAUAUAUAGUUCAGAUAUAUCUACGUGUAGGAAUGAAACCUCCAUUAUAUAAAAAAAAAAUGAUGAAAAUCUCAAUAUUUUAAAUGGACAUCUUAAAAUCCAAAAUCCAUAGGACAACAUAUAUAGAUGACAUUGAAAAUCCAUAGAUUUUUUUAAUAUUCUUUCUUGCGAUUGUUAUCAAUUUAAUUCAAAUUUGAAAAUGGAUGAAUCCUUCUAUUAAGGAAAAUCAGAAAAACAUUCAGUGCGGUAGUGAUAUUUAAUUUAAGCUGAAAUCGUAAUACCAAUACGAACUAUCAAAGGAACCCUCACAACAUGCUUUCCAUCUUCCCAUACUAGACUUCCAAACGAAUACCUACCUUGCACCUUCAACCUCGACCGGAAAACAACCUGAAAUUUUUGCUUUCUGACGGUCGAAUUGAAUUUUAGAACAGAUGGGAACAACUCCACGAUGACACCCGCGGGAGAUUCAACGUUGGCAUAGUAGACAGAAUUCACUCCACUAACGUUGGUUACAGUUCUCCAAAUUGACGCUCUGGAUGUCAGCUCAGGUAUCAGAAUUGAGGGUAGAUUAAGUUGUUCCUCAGAGACACGAUGAUGAGCGCACUCAGUUGGAUUUUGUCGUGUCAUAUGACUUAUUGCAGAAUUGUUGUAGCCCAUUGAACAUAGAAACUGUAUGUGAUCGUGGAUGCUCAUGUCGAAAACCAGUCCUGGAUGUGUUGCCGUGUUCAAAUCCACAUGGCCGCCACCAUAGUCGAAUGGAUCACCUUGCUUGUAGGGUGCUCCUUGAGCCACCAAUAUCUGAUCAUACUCGUCUUUUACAGAAGCUACAUCCAUAGAUUUUUUUUUUGCAAAUACAUCCAUAGAUAUUUGGUCGCAUCUCAGUAAUAUAAAAGCACUUAGACGAAAAAAUAUAUAUUUCAAGGUUUAGGGAUUAAGGAUUGAUUUACCAGUAGUUAUGAUAGCAGAUUUCACUGCAGCAGGGCUCCAAUCUGGAUGUGCUGAUUUAAUAAUCGCAGCAACUGCAGCGAUAUGUGGGCAGGCCAUCGAGGUCCCUGAUUCGAGCUUGAAAUUGAAUGGACCGUGUUUAGUAGAAGCCGAUGAAACUGGAGACCAAGAUGCCAGAAUAUUCACACCAGGAGCAGCAACAUCAGGCUGCAAUGCAUCAACAGAUUAUUUAUGUUUUGCAGGUGACCAAAUUCUGAAUUAUUAUUCAACAUUUUAAUACCUUCAAUAUGGAAGGCGAAAUCGAACUGGGGCCUCGAGAAGAGAAGUACGCCACCUCGGGAGACAUGAUUCCCCCAACAAUUGUUUUGGUAGAUCCAAAUUUAACAACAGGUUUCCUGUAAAAUGCACAAAACUGUAAGAAUUCAGAACAUAUUUUAUUUGGUUACUUCCUACUUGAAAAACUAACUACUUAUGUAAGUUUACCUUGUAAUUCCAAUGUAAUGAAGUAGAGCAGUCCCUACUUCAAAAUCAACGACGAUGGCAUGAAUACCCAACGGAAGAGAUACAUCCUUGGUUGGAAAUUUGGCAAAGAUCACACCAGCACCAUGAGCUUUGGUGACAGUACUUGCAGCGACUAAAGUCAUCUCUGUGAUCGUGUUUGAAAACACAACACAAUAUUACCUUUAGCUAAAGUCGAAUUCAAAGAUCCCCUCUUACAUCCUCUAUGAAACAACCAAACUUAAGGUUGUCAUGGAAUGGUCGAAACUGUGCAGCGAAAAAAGCUACAUUUUUGUUAAUAUAUACCUUGCAUUAACUUGUUCAACUUUGGUGGAUGCAAUAUCUUCGCCAUACACAACAUGGUGGAAAACAUGUUUUUCAUCAUGCAGCAAACCAUGUCCCUGAGGUGAAGACAGUUCACAAUGGAACAUUUAAGUAGUUAGGUUUUGAUGAGAAGUGAAACUGAAGAUCACUGACCAAUAAAGUUUGGUUGUUCCCAAGAGUAAUUGUAAGAGGGAAAUCUCGAUCAAUUGUACUUGCGGCGACGGUUAGUAACCAUGGCGCAGUGUUUAUGACGGUCUGAGAGUACGGGCCGGAAUUACCACCGGAACAGACGACGGUGAUACCUCUGGCAACAGCAUGGAAUGAUCCAAUUGCGAGAAGAUCCUCAACAUAAAUGGGGAGUGGAGCUGAAGACCCCAAAGAGACUGAAAGAAUAUCUACACCAUCAUAUAUUGAAUCAUCGAAGGCGGCAAGGACGUCGGCGGUGCUACAUCCACCCGUCGCCCAACAGACCUUGUACAUCGAUAAAUGCGCGCCACUAGCACCACCUCUGGCCAACCCACGAGCAAGUCCCCUAAAACUAGCACCUUCCACAAAGCUUCCUGCUGCCGUCGAUGACGUGUGCGUGCCAUGGCCGGAAGCAUCCCGGGGCGAUAAGAACUCAACCUUGGUCGUCGUGUUGAUUUUAAUUUUUACAAUCUAACUCUAUUUUAAUUUUUUUUAUUCAUAUCAUAUUAGUUUUUAGUCUUUAUUAGUGAAAAAACGUAAUUUACCACACAAAAAAAUAAUACCAAAAUCUUCCAAAUUCCUACUUACCCUCGUCUUCUCAAUCUGCUUUUAUUUUCUACUUCAGAUUAGAGCAACUACCACCAACUGCUCUAGCGGAGUGAUGGAGACGACUCAGACGACCCACAUCUUCAUUCUCUCCGGCCAAAGCAACAUGGCGGGGAGAGGGGGAGUUUACAACGGUGAGUGGAACAAGCUCGUCCCACCAGAAUGCCAACCGAAUCCACGCAUACUUCGUUUCUCCGCCGAGUCCGAAUGGGUGGAGGCGAACGUGCCACUUCACGCCGACAUCGACGUCACCAAGGUCUGCGGUAUCGGUCCCGGCAUGAUCUUCGCCAACAACUACCUCCCCGUCUGCGCUGCCAAAACCGUCGUCGGAUUAGUGCCCUGCGCCAUCGGGGGGACGGCGAUAGCGGAAUGGGAGAAAGGGGAGAAGCUCUACAACGAUAUGUAAUUAAAUUUUUUAUAGGGGGUUAAGUGUAAUUUUUACAAUAUAUUAAUAUUUUUAAAGGGUUAAUAUAUAAAUUUCACAAUAUUUAUACUAUAUAAAUUUCUUUCCCCCAACCUCCUUACCCAAAACUAACGAUUUCCCCCAAUCUCUCCUCCUCCCAUCCACCUCACGAUCAUCUCAAGAAGCCGGACUCCGGGAAUCUCUUCUCCAUUUCUCCCUCCGUUGCUACUUGUUGGAUUCUCUCAUUUCUUUGGUAUUUAUUUGUUGUUCUUGUUGAUCUUGUUUGUUGUUUCUACAUAUUAUUUGGGUCUGAUGAGUGAUGGUGAUGGUCAGGACUGGUUGUGAUCCGAUCAGCUGUAAGCAUUACAGGAGGAGGUGUUUGAUCAGAGCUCCUUGCUGCAAUGAGAUCUUCUCCUGCCGUCAUGGCGUCAUUGCCACAACGAGUCCACGGCCACUGUUUGUUCCAACUUUUUUUCUUUCCUUUUUUGAACUGUUGUAUACUGAUGGAUAUGAAUAUAUGAUACGAUGGUGAAAUUCUGAUGGAGUUUAUUGAUAUUUGAUUUAGUUAGUUGAUUAGUCCUCAUAUGAAGUUAGGUUCUCCGGUCUGCAUAUGAAGUUAGAACUCACAUGUUAAUGUUCUGUUUUUGAAACUCAAAUCCCUAAAUAAAUUCCAAGGAUGUGAAUUUAAUGAUUUUAUAUUGAUUAGAUGUGUUGUUAAACAAAUGGAGAGGACAAAAAAAAUAAAACUUACAGAUAUGCCAAAAUUUCAAAUUCUCCAAUGCUGGAUCCUGGAUGGAAAUCAUGGAAUCAUACCAGCCAUUCUAGUGUUUCUUAAAAUCCUAUUAUCAUUUAAACACAGCUAAAAUAUAAGUAUUAUGUAAAUCAAAAAAAUAUAGAUAGAUCAUAUAUAGAUGAAUCUUUCUUACAAUGUACCCAGAGACUAAAUAUUCUUGAUAAAAUUUAAAGAUGAGGUUUCACCUACAUAUCACCCAAUCUCCUGCAGAUGUCUUUUUUUUUUAUACAGAUGCUUCUGAAUUUUUUUAGGUUGACUACGCUUGCCGUUUGCGUGUUAAUUAGGGAUUUGUCAUUUUAUUUGUCGGAAGCUUAAAAAGAUCUUCAAUAACAAGGUAACAAGGUUCUAUUACUUUUUCAUUUUUAGAAUUGAUAGAUUUAUAAUUUUAUGCAUUAUUUCUUAUAUAAUUUUAUAGUUCGAUUUAAGAAUGUAGGAUUGUAUUCUUAGAUUUAAGGUGAAUCUUAUUUUUUAAAUUACAGUCUUACAGAUGGAAAAAUAUUUUAAAAAGACAACUCAUUCUCCACAACCACAUGAAGAUAUUUCAGAAACAAGUAAAAGAAAACGAUUAUCUAUUAUUCCUAAACCAUUAGCUUUCGAUGAUCUUCCUUCUGAUCCAGUAUUAAGAAAGAAGAUGUCAAUGUAUAUGUUUUUUAAUUAGUACAAAAAAAAUUUAAGAAAUUAGUACAAAAAAAAAUUAGUAUGUAGGUUUUUUAAUCCAGUAUAGGUUUUUUAAUUAGUAUCUUCCUUCUGAUCCAGUAUAGGUUUUUUAAUUAGUACAAAAAAAAAAAUUUCGCUUUCGGCGAAUCUUGCCCCCCCUGCCGGGGAAUCCUAGAUACGCCACUGGUGAUGAGUGGUUUCUUUUCCCAUGCUAUUUAUAGAACCCUAAUGUGUACUUCACAUUUCAUCUCGGCUCCCACCGUCUAUAAAUCCAAUACAAUUCGACAAUGUUGCAUCGAAAAUCAUUUCUGUCAGAAGUUGAAGUCAGCUUGUCAGGUAAGAUGGUUUUCUCUUUUAUGAUUUUUUUUAAAAUCUGAGUAUUUAAGAUUUUAAGCAUUAAUAUAUUUUUUGUCUUCUUGGGUGUUUGUCGUACUAUGAAGAACGACGACGAUAAAGAGGGGGAGAGGAAGAGGAGGAAGAAGAAGAAGAAUCCCGAGAUGGGUGGAGAUGUCGAGAUGGUCAGAGGAGGAGGAGAUGGUGAUAUUGUGGACGAGAUUGACGAGAUGGAGAACGAAGAUCCGAGGAGAAUCCUGCCAUGGACGAAACAGGUCACGGUCAGAGGUUUGGUGGCGAGUUUGAUUAUAGGGAUUAUGUACAGCAUCAUCGUCAUGAAACUCAAUCUCACCACCGGUUUAGUACCGACACUCAAUGUCUCCGCCGCUCUUCUCGCCUUCGUUUUUCUUCGUACCUGGACGAAGAUUCUUCACAAGGCUGGUGUGGUUUCGACCCCUUUUACCCGUCAGGAGAACACCGUCGUCCAAACGUGUGCCGUUGCAUGUUACAGCAUUGCUGUAGGAGGUGGGUUGUGAUUUAAUUUCUCAAUUGUUGUCACUGAAUUACUAAAGCUUGUUCAUUUUACAGGAGGGUUUGGAUCCUAUUUAUUGGGAUUGAACAAGAGGACAUACGAAUUGGCCGGGAUUGGCACCGAGGGGAAUACUCCGGGAAGCUACAAGGAGCUUGGAAUUGCUUGGAUGACUGCCUUCCUCUUUAUUAUCAGUUUUGUGGGUCUUCUUGUUCUGGUCCCUUUGCGGAAGGUAUGUAUGCCCAUUAACACCGAAUUAGAAUUAGAAUUAAGGUUCUAAAUGUUUCAUCAUUCUGCAGAUCAUGAUAAUUGACUACAAGCUGACUUACCCUAGUGGCACUGCAACUGCAGUUCUUAUAAAUGGUUUCCAUACUAAGAAAGGCGACCAAAACGCCAGGUUCGAUCGAUCUUCCCUCCCUUUUGAAUUUCGAGCAUGGUCAGCAGAUUUUAAUCCUUUUUCCAUGUCACCAGAAAGCAAGUACAGGGUUUCUCCAAAUUCUUCACCAUGAGCUUCCUAUGGAGUUUCUUCCAAUGGUUCUUCUCGGGCGGAGAAUCUUGUGGUUUCUCCCAAUUCCCUACAUUUGGCCUCCAAGCAUGGAAACAGACGUAUGGUUCGCCUUUAUUUUUGUUUUGUUUUUGCUAUGGCAUAUUGUAUUAAAUUAUGGGUGUUGCCUGUGUCCUCAGAUUUUUCUUCGACUUCAGCAUGACUUACGUCGGCGCUGGGAUGAUCUGUUCACAUCUUGUAAACCUUUCACUCUUUCUUGGAGCGAUUUUAUCGUGGGGGAUAAUGUGGCCUUUGAUAAGCAAACUGAAAGGAUAUUGGUAUCCUGCAGAUAUAGCACAAGGAAGUAUGAAGAGUUUGCAAGGCUACAAAGUCUGUUUCGAAUUUCUUUUUCUUUUUUGAUUAAAAUGCUUGAAUUUUCGUCUUGUUACUGAAUUUUUGGAUCACAACUCUACAGGUGUUCCUUUCGAUUUCUCUCAUCUUAGGUGAUGGCCUCUAUAAUUUCAUCAAGAUAUCUUUCUUUACUGCGAAAAGUAUAAUCUCGCAAUCUAAACAGAGGAAUACAAGGAGCGGUAGGUAGCGAUUCUAUGUCGGAAAAAUCAAGUUUUCCUUCUUUUUGUUGUUGUGGAUUUUUUUGCUUACUUGUUUUGUCGCUUUACAGUACUUCCAUUGGACCACAAAGAUGAAAAUCUCGAUGAGGCCCUAAGAAACGAAGUCUUCAUGAAAGAUAGCAUUCCCAUUUGGUUAGCAUACACAGGGUAUGCCGGGUUUUCAGUGAUAUCGGUAAUCGCAAUCCCAUUGAUGUUCCCUGAAGUUAAGUGGUACUAUGUGAUCAUAGCAUAUCUUCUGGCACCAGCACUUGGCUUCUGCAAUGCUUAUGGUGCCGGACUCACUGACAUGAACAUGGCUUAUAAUUACGGAAAGGUAUCACUCUUCAUCAUAGCAUCGUGGGCAGGGGGGAACUCCGGUGUGGUGGCUGGUUUGGUCGCAUGUGGAUUGAUAAAAUCAGUAGUUUCCAUCUCUGCUGAUCUGAUGCAUGAUUUCAAAACUGGGCAUCUCACUCUAACUUCACCCCGUUCGAUGCUUCUGAGUCAAGCCGUAGGAACUGCCAUUGGUUGCAUCGUGUCUCCUCUCACCUUCUUCCUCUUCUACAAGGCUUUCGACGUGGGAAAUCCAGAUGGGAAUUUCAAAGCUCCGUACGCUUUAAUAUACAGAAACAUGGCAAUCUUAGGUGUUGAAGGAUUUUCAGCUUUGCCUCACCAUUGCUUACAGCUCUGCUAUGGAUUCUUCGGAUUUGCAGUGUUUGCUAAUAUCAUCAGAGACAUCUCUCCGGCAAAAUACAGCAAAUGGGUACCACUACCGAUGGUCAUGGCCGUGCCAUUUUUAGUAGGCGCAAGCUUCGCCAUUGAUAUGUGUAUAGGGAGCUUAGUGGUUUUCACCUGGAAUUAUGUUAACAAGGAAAAGGCUAGUUUGAUGAUACCUGCAGUUGCUUCAGGUUUGAUAUGUGGAGAUGGUCUCUGGACUUUACCUUCUUCCCUACUUGCUCUUGCAAAAAUUGAUCCUCCCAUCUGCAUGAAGUUCUUCAGUAAUUAGAAAACAAGCUUAAUUAAGAUGUCCACUUAAAUCAUAUUGAUUUUUACUUACAAAGUUAAAAAAGUAUGGGAAAUAAUAAGUUUAAUUAUUCAUUUCUUUUGUAGGUUUGUGUUAUAAAAUGAAUGCGAAUGAAUGUUUGUAUUAAAUCUUAUCUUUAGCCUCUUUAUCGAUAAUCGAGAUUAGUCUUUAAUUAUUUCUAUUUGACUUUAAUUAUUGGUAUCACAGAAACUUUAAUCAAGUUAUUAAAUAUUUCAAAUUUCAAUACCUUUUUUAUUUUUUACAAUCUAACUCUAUUUUAAUUUUUUUUAUUCAUAUCAUAUUAGUUUUUAGUCUUUAUUAGUGAAAAAACGUAAUUUACCACACAAAAAAAUGAUACCAAAAUCUUCCAAAUUCCUACUUACCCUCGUCUUCUCAAUCUGCUUUUAUUUUCUACUUCAGAUUAGAGCAACUACCACCAACUGCUCUAGCGGAGUGAUGGAGACGACUCAGACGACCCACAUCUUCAUUCUCUCCGGCCAAAGCAACAUGGCGGGGAGAGGGGGAGUUUACAACGGUGAGUGGAACAAGCUCGUCCCACCAGAAUGCCAACCGAAUCCACGCAUACUUCGUUUCUCCGCCGAGUCCGAAUGGGUGGAGGCGAACGUGCCACUCCACGCCGACAUCGACGUCACCAAGGUCUGCGGUAUCGGUCCCGGCAUGAUCUUCGCCAACAACUACCUCCCAGUCUGCGCUGCCAAAACCGUCGUCGGAUUAGUGCCAUGCGCCAUCGGGGGGACGGCGAUAGCGGAAUGGGAGAAAGGGGAGUAUAAGAUGGUGUAAAUUGUAUUGAAUUUUGGAAUAGUUUGAUUACAUAUAUUUAUAACUCUUUAUUCUCUAACAACCUAUUUAACUAUUUUAACUAACUCUGUUAUUGUAUAUUCUCUAAUAUACCUCCUUCCUGGAGCCCCACCGGAGCUUCGCCGACGAGCUUUUCUUGUAGUAUGGAGAAGCUUCUCGGCGGUAGUGCUUUAGUCAAAAUAUCUGCCCAUUGUUCAUGUCCGGGUACAUGCCUUACGAUGAUGUCCCCAUUUUCUACUUUUUCACGAACGAAAUGGAGAUCCAGUGCUACAUGUUUGAGCUUUAUAUGUCCAAUUGGAUUUUUCGUGAUGAAGGUAGCUCCGAGGUUGUCUGAUAGAAUUGCCAUAGGCCGUGGUACUUCUACUCCCAAUUCAAUUAGUGUCGAGCGAACUGCUUCUAUUUCUUGGGUCGUGGUCGCUAUUGCACGAUAUUCGGCCUCUGUGCUUGAUCGAGCUAGCGUGUUUUGUUUUCGGGAUGCCCACGACACUAAUGUUCCUCCGACGUAUACUAGAAACCCCGUACGGCUUUUGCGAUCGGUUGUGUCACCUCCCCAAUCGGCGUCACAGUAUGCCGUGAUCCCAAAGUUGUUUACUUUCCGUAGUGCAAUUCCGUGAUUUUGAGUUCCAAGUAAGUAACCCAUAACGCGUUUUAUUGCUAUCCAAUGAACCAUUUUUGGUUCGGCCAUAAAUUGAGCGAGCCGAUUCACUGCGACUUGGACAUCCGGCCUUGUUAAGGUGAUGUACUGUAGUGAUCCUAUGAUUCGUCGAAAUUCACUCGGGUCAUCAAUGAUCGGUCCGUCUGAGUGAAGUUCGAUGUUUUCGAGCAUCGGAGUGGAGACUGCUUUUAUUUCCCCUAUGUUGUAAUUUUGGAGAAGAUUUAAAAGAUAACGAGUUUGAGAUAAGUGUAACCCAUUUUUGACUCUUUUGACCUGAAUGCCGAGGAAAUAAUCGACAGUGCCCAGGUCACGUAUAGGAAAUUCAACGCCCAAUCUGUUUAUUACUUUCUUGACUUCUUCCUCAUUUGAUCCUACUAUUACGAUAUCGUCGACGUAGACGAAUAGGAAUAUUGUGAUUGAUGUUUUCGAUAAAUAAAAAGCGAAGGAUCGACGGCGGAUUCUUUGAAUGAUAAUGUUCCCAAGAACCCACUUAGUUUCUUGAACCAACAUCUCGGUGAUUGUUUGAGUCCGUAUAAGGACUUGUGAAGGAGACAGACUUGAUCCGGAUGUUGAUUAUCGAUGAACCCGUAUGGUUGUGCCACCACAAUCCUUUCUUUGAGACUGCCAUGUAAGAAGGCGUUUGAUACGUCGACUUGAUGAAGAUUCCACCCUUUGGAUAUAGCCAAGAGUAACACUAGUCGAAUUGAUACUGGACGAACCACCGGGCUGAACGUAUCAAAAUAGUCUGUGCCGUGAAUCUGUCGUAGCCCAUUUGCAACGAGUCGUGCCUUGAACCGUUCUACCGUGCCAUCCGCUUUUGAUUUAACCUUGCUUAAACACCCAUUUGGUGUUGAUUAUGUUAUCUUCUGGUCGACGUGAAACCAGAGUCCAGGUACCAUUUUCUUGGAGUGCGUUGAAUUCUUUGGUCAUAGCCUCCUUCCAUUGAGGAAUAAGCAUGGCUGAUUUUGCCGAUUUUGGAGUUGGGAUAUCCGAUGCUGCUGUAGUCAAAGCAAACUUUGGGUUAGGUUUAAUGAUCCCAACCGAGCUUCUGGUAACCAUUGUUGUUGUUCGUACUGGGGUACUGGGAUCUCGUUGCCUACCGAUUCGAUCGUUAGAUUCUUCUAUUGAUGGGAUCUGGUUUGCUAACUCUGUCUCGUUUGACCAAGCCUCGAUUGACGGAAUUGAUUCGGUUGCUUCACUUGGAUAGCUUGACUCGGUUGAAUAAAUCGGACUUAUUGGAUUGCUUGGUUCGGUUGAGUCAGGUACCGUAGUCGUUGACGUUGGAAUGAGAUUAAUCGGGCCCGUAAUCGGUAAUAUCCCCAAUUCUGUUUGUUUGGGUUGAGUGUUAAUGUCAUUUCUUUCCCCAAAUACUUCUUUAUUCAACGAAAAUUGUUCUUCAUCAAACUUGACGUCGCGAGAGGCAUAAAUUCUUCGGUUGGUUGGUUCGAAGCAUAGGUAGCAGUCUUGAUUCAUAGAAUACCCGACAAAUAUGCAUUCGGCAGAUUUGGCCUCCAGUUUAUUCUUUCGAUAGGGUCGAAGACACGAGUAACACCUGCUUCCGAAUACACGAAGUUUCGAAUAUUCCGGAGUUUUGUUUAAAAAUGCUUCCAUCGGAGAUUUGCCGGCCAGUAGAGGUGUCGGAUUCCUGUUGUAUAAAUAGCAGGCUGUUAACACUCCAUAGUCCCAGAAUUGGUUCGGUAAAUUUGCGUGGCGUAGCAUUGUAACCGUUGUAUCAACUAUGUGCCUGUGUCUUCUCUCUACUCGACCCAUCUGUUGGUGUGAGUAUGGAGCUGACAUACGAUGUGAAAUGCCUAAUUCUUUCAACCUUUUUCCUAACUUUUGGUAUUCCAAUGCAUUAUCUGUUUGUACGGCUAGAAUUUUGUUUUCACAGUGUCUCUCUGCCCAAGUUCGAAAAUUUUCAAAUACUUGAUAAAGAUCAGCUUUUCGUGCCACUGGGUAUACCCAAUUAAAAUGUGUGCAGGCGUCUACAAAAUUGAUAUAGUAAGAGUACCCUUCUACUGAAAUUGUAGGGGCGGGUCCCCAAAUAUCUGAAAAUAUUAGUUCCAGUGGCUUGUAUACCGUUGUUCGAGAUGGAUGAGGAAGAGAAUGUGAUUUGCCAAGCUGACAAGAAUUACACAAUUUAUACGUUUUAACACUAGACUUUAUUAAACCUUGUUUUUCCAAUACACUCAUAUAUGCCGAAUUUAAAUGGCCCAGGCGACAAUGCCACAGAUAGUGCGGCGGUGGGUUAUUUUCGCAAACAUUCACAGAAUUUGUAGCUGGUUUGAUGACCAUCGGCAACUCGUACAAUCCCUUAUUUGCCGCUCCUUCCAGUAAUACCGUCUCAGUAGCCGAAUCCUUUACCCGCACCUUCUGUGAAUCAAAUUCAACGGAGACAUUGUUAUCAAUACAAAAUCUGUUCACCGACAAUAAAUUUCUAGUUGCCGUAGGAACUAGUAGUAAAUCAUUAAGAACGAAAUUAUUAGAAUCUGUAAUAGCUCUGCUUUGACCAGAGUAAGAAAUUGACAAUGGACUCCCAUCCGCCGUAAAAAUUUUACCAUUAUACGCUCUGGGAUAUUGGAUAUUUUCAGGUGCGGCUGUAACGUGUGAUGUUGCCCCUGAAUCGGGGUACCACAUUAUUGUUGGACCUUCUGCAGAAAUUAGAUUAGCCGAGGGUGUGUUUCUAAAAUUCCCAUUUGUAUUGUGACUUGAAGGUGUAUUAUGAAAAUUCCCAUUUGUUCCAAAUGAGGAGGGUGUAUUGUUAAAAUUUCCAGUUGUUCCAGAAGACGAAAUUGCCCUCCCAUGCGUCGGCGGAAAUCGUUCUAGGUUUAAACGAUUAUAGCAAUCCGGCGCCGUGUGUCCCCUUUUCGAGCAGAUCUGGCAGCGGAGGUCCCCUCUUUACGAUUUAUAUCCACCGCCGUAGGUGUUCUGGUAGCGUCGUUCUUGCUGCGGUGGUUGAGGCAUUUUGGCGACGACGGCAGCAGCAUUUCCGGCGACGACGGCAGCAGCAUUUCCGGCGACGGCUGCAACUCGCGAUUUCUCCAGUCGGAGGUUGUGGUCCAUCAGCAUCUCGCAUACUCCGGUGAACGUUAGGUCUGGAUUGAAUGGUGUGGUGAUUGCGGUUACAAAAGUUUCAAAUUCGUCCCCCAAUCCUCCCAAGGUGAUUAGCACGAUUUCUGAUUCUUUAAGUCCCUCUCCUGUUGAUGCGAGAGCAUCUUUUAAAACUGAAAUUUUGGACAGGUACUCCUCAAUGCUUAAUCCUCCCUUUCGAAUCGAUUGGAGUUGAAGACGAAUAUGAAGUUGCCUUGCUUGUGUUCCCGAUGAGAAAAGUUUGCGUAGUGCAUCCCAAACCUCUGCCGAUGUCUUCCGAGAUGCCACUUGCGGAAGAAUGGUCGUUGAGAUCCCGGUCAAGAUCCAGCUCAAAAUCAACUGAUCUUGCUGGAUCGAUGAUGGCGACGAAAGUUCAACCUUGCCAAGAACGUAAUCGAAGAGUUGAAACCCCCUAAGCAUGGCCGAAAAUUGCGCCUCCCAUGAGUAGUAAUUACUCUUAUCCAAUUGGAUGCAUUUCAUUAGCUUCAUCACUAUCCUUGAUGAUGGAGCAUUUGCACCCGAAUCUGCAGCGGAAAACGUCAUCCUUGAUUCUAAACCCGAAAAACUGAUACCAUAUAAGAUGAUGUAAAUUCUAUUGAGUUUUGGAAUAGUUUGAUUACAUAUAUUUAUAACUCUUUAUUCUCUAACAACCUAUUUAACUAUUUUAACUAACUCUGUUAUUGUAUAUUCUCUAAUACAUAUGCAUUAUAUGUCCCAUUUCUUUUUACAAUUUAGCCAAGACCAUCCUUUCAUGCAUUAGCAUACGAUAUGAUUUUUCUUCUCUGCUGAAUAUGAUUUUAAUAAAUAGAAUGAUUAGCAUACGAUAAUAUAUUGAAGGAAAAAUCUUAAUCAUAUUAUCUUGUAGUUUACUAAAUGUUUAUGUUUUAAACAAGUCUUGUAUUAUAAUUGAAAAAUAUAUAUAUAUCAAAAGAGGUUUAGACGUUUAGUCUCUUUUAAUUAUUAAAAGAUCUAGCAGCCGAUCAUCGUCCAUACCUCUUCGCAACUUCUAAAAAUAUAAAUUAAUAUGUAUUUACAUCCACAAUAACAUGAUUUGUACAUUUAGCAUAAAUAAAUAAAUAUAGCUAACAUCUAUAAUUAAUAAUUUUGAUCGCAAUUUUAUUUCUUAUCAGUUUUAUGUUGAAUAUGUUUUAUUAUACGCAAUAAUUUUUGACUUGUCACAGUUUUUCUUUUCCAAAUUAAAAAAAUUUGACAAGAUAGGUACGUAUUAAUUACACUUUUUAGUCUUCAACUCUACGUUAAGAAUUCUAUAGUAUAUAUUAAAAAAUUCUAAAGUAUAUAUUUCAGAUUUUAUUGAAUGUAAAUAUAAAAUAUUUAGAUUUAGCCAAACAUUAAAUAUGGGGGAGAGGACCGGGCGCAGGAUCCGUCCCGUUCUGGAAAAUGGGGUAAACGGGGCGGGUCAAGUACCCCACCUUAAUCCGGACGACCCAUUUGGAAUUAAAAAAUUAAAUCUAAAAAUUAAAAUUUAAAAUGGGUAAACUUGUUAGUUUUUACCUUGAUUUUUAAAUUUUUUAUUUUUAAUAAUUAUAUAUCUAAUAUAAAUAUAAUUUAAUUUAAAUUAAAUUAAAUUAAUUAAAAAAAUAAAAAUUAAUUUUUUAAAAAACCGAUGCGACCCGUCCGGGUUCGCCCUGCCGUGCGACUGGACCGGUCUCACCCUUAUAAGAAUACAAUCAAGAUCUAAGCUCUUAAAAAGCAAAUAAUAUUUUUUCACUUUUUGGUUUGUUUAUUUAUUUACCGACUUAAAUAGUUAAAUCAGAAAUAAAAGUUUACAAAAUACAAAUACAUAAUAAAAAUUAAAAUAGGAGUCGGAGUGUCGGAGCCUCGGAGAGUCAGAAUUACCAGAAGAGUAAUAAAAAGAUUACCAUUUCCACGUAAGCAUUUAUUCCAGUAAAUAGUGACCAAACCAAACCUCCUCCUUACAACCUUAACAGCCUAUUGGUUCGAGAUUGAACCAAUGUUUUUACUAUUAUCCUUACCACCUGAUCCUUGCGCCGGCGCCGGCCGUGAACCAUCGCCGUCGCCAGCCAUACCAGACUGCGCAGUAAGCACUGAUAGGUUCGGAGACGACGGGCCGUCUGCAUUGUUGUUGUGCUGCUGCGGUGCGAUUGUGGUUGUCCUGGGAUGUCCGGUGGCAGUGGAGAUGGCCGAAGCAAGUGAGAUGGGCAUUAGACAAAGACCUUUCCCUUGUAAAUACUGCAUGGCAGAACCCAUAUCUUCCUCCAUCAGCUUCGCAACUUGGUGCUCUGUGACCGCCAAUGUGUUGUUUUCGUUGCCUCCCGUCGCGCUACUUCUCCCUCCCCCUCCUCCCUGUCCAUUCAUAAAACAAAAUCAUCGUCACCCACUUGCGUAGUGGUAGUGGAGAGUGUAGACUAAUGACCAGUGAGACAAGACAGGCAGCAUGCGUGCUUACAUUGGAGGACAUGUCGGCAACCAGAGGCGCAACUGCUGCAGCUCCACCCAGCCUGCUCACGCUGAGAACCUUUGAAGAAAAAGGCAAUAGAAUGAGUGAAUGACCAGACCACACCAUCUCAUACUGGGAGGAACAAAAUAGAUUAGAAAUCUAAUUUCUAAUUUACCUUCACUUGAAGUUGUAGGAAUUUAACAUAGUCAAUGAUCUCAUCCAACAUGGAAGCUUUGUCUGUCUGCAAAUGUGUAAUUAAAUAGGUAAGUCAUCAGAUUAGAAGGAAUCAUCAACAAACAAACCAACCUUGUUGGCAUUAGGAACCAGUUCUUGCAGAGCUUUCAUUCUGUCAGCAAUUCUCUCUCUACGUAACUGCAACCCAAAAAAAAAACAGACAAGUAAUUAAUGGCACUCACUGGUUUCCAAGGUCAGACACCACCUGAAAACCUGAUGUUCCCUGGAUUUCCUCAAAGAAAAAAAUACACAGCAAACGGAAUCAAUCAAGUAUUAAAUACAAGGACCGAUAGAAAAUAGAGAGAGAGACAAACAAAUCAGGAAGAUGAAGCAGAGAAGAUGACUGUAAUUAUUUUUGCUUGCUUUCUUACCCUUUCGGCUAUGCUAUGUGGGUCAGUGGCUUGGCCUCUUCUAGCCCUAACCCUUUGUCUCGGGGGUGCAGUGCCUCCUGAACCAGCAGAUGCCGACUGGGACUGACCCAUACCUGCUCCUGCCUGAGCUACAAAGCUCUGCACACCUCCGCCACCAACCUGAAUAUUGGAGAAUAAAAGGCGAAAUAAGGAAAAAAGCAAAUAAAAAUACAUUUAAAACCCUAAAAAUAUCAGAUAAUCGGACCUGCGUGUGUGAUUGGAAGGGUUGCUGUCCGGGAACACGUGAGAGAGAGGCGCCGAAUCCGUUGUAAAUCGAGUCUCCUCCGCCCUGAACAAUAAGUAUGGGGAACAGGAGUGGAUCACCGAUCAAUAUCUUUAUUACUUGGACACGUCCCCAAAAAUCCAGUUUUUUUUUUGUAAUUUACAAACACGAGAAGAAAAAAA